UGCUAUAAUUCUUGGGCCAGCUGUCUCCCGUCACGCCGGCACCGCUACGGCUGGUUAUGCUCAACCCUCUUGGUGUGCUGAUGCCGCAAAGAAUUAUGCGACUCGAUUCUCAGCCAAGUGCUCCGCGUCACCGCAUUCACCACUGCCAGUUCUGGACACUACUGUGUAUGCAGUCCGGCAACAUGGAAUGGCGUCAGCUGACCCAGCCGCUAAACAACGCGCCCAUUUCACCGACGCAACGGGCCACGGCACCGCAGUUACGAUGCCACGCUCACCCCUGAUGUUCUUCCAGGUCAUGCAGAUGAUAGCAGCAGUUUCACAAUGCCCAGCCUUGGUGCCCUCCAUCAAGAACAAGCCACUUGCAUUCUCCUUCAGACAGAUGUUUGACGUCUUCUUGGACGCAGUUAUGAAGACAACGUUACCAGUAACGGAGCACCAACAACAAUCUUGGAACUUUAUUGUCAUGCCUUUAUAUACAAAUACACGCCGUGAAGGUCCCAGGUGAGGAGACCAAACAGGUGGACUUACAAGACAAUUAAAAACGGGCCAUUCCACGCCAAGUUUCCCAGACGUGUGCUUCCUCCAUCCAUUUUCCUGGGACGUGACGUGCUUUCAAAGAUUGCUCAACGCCAUGGUCGGCAUAGUUCCGUACCACCGCUUCACCGUACCGCGACAUGCUUGACACAGAGGACAACGUCCAAGCGUCUAACAUCCCAACGUGUCUACAGUGUGCAUCUGUGGAGACCUCUAAAUUUGAUAUUACACCAUUUUUGAAAUUCAAUAUUUCUGUAAAUGAAUAUUUAAGGCGAAAAUCAUGAUGCAGUUUCUGUAUUAAAGGCUUCGUGUUUUCGAGUCUCGAUGAGACAUAUUAAA